UACGGGGGGGGCAAGCGUUGUUCGGAAUUACUGGGCGUAAAGGGCUCGUAGGCGGCCAACUAAGUCGGACGUGAAAUCCCCAGGCUCAACCUGGGAACUGCGUCCGAUACUGGAUGGCUUGAAUUCGGGAGAGGGAUGCAGAAUUCCAGGUGUGAGCGGUGAAAUGCGUAGAUAUCUGGAGGAAUACCGGUGGCGAAGGCGGCAUCCUGGACCGACAUUGACGCUGAGGAGCGAAAGCUAGGGGAGCAAACGGGG
rnacentral:rRNA from 1 species